UCAUGUAGCCAAAACGGCAGUGAAACAAAACAAGUGCUGUAAAAGUGUUUCCCUUUAUGUAUUUCCGUGCAUCUAACAAUGAAUAUUAACCGUAAAUGCCACUGUACGUGAACUGCACACGUCGUCGUUGCUGUGUGAGGGACUGUAAGUAACCUGGACGCAUAGUAGCAGAGCUGCAGAGCAACACAGUGAAUUUGAGCUGACAGGACGGAGCUCAUUUCUUCCGUGAACAUGAAGACCGGCAUCCCGUACCACCAGCUGGAGGAUGAGUCCCGGGGACAAGACUACAACAGG